rnacentral:rRNA from 1 species
GACAGAGGCCUCAAGCGUUAGGCGGAAUCACUGGGCUUAAAGCGUGUGUAGGCGGAUCGUUAAGUGUCUUGUGAAAUCCCACGGCUCACCCGUGGAACGGCUGGGCAUACUGGCGAUCUUGGGCCAACUAGGGGCAACUGGAACAAGCGGUGGAGCGGUGAAAUGCGUAGAUAUCGCUUGGAACGCCGAAGGUGAAAGACGAUGUGCUGGGGUUGUGCCGACGCUGAGACACGAAAGCCAGGGGAGCAAACGGG